ACAAGAGACUGUACAAGUUGACUGUUCUCAGGUUAGAGAAUCAGUGUAGAGAUGCGGACUGAUCUAUUGACGAGAUCGAGUCCGAGUAGAUAUGCUGACUGUCCUUAAUGUAGUAAAAGCAGCCCGAAAUGUUGACUGAUCCGUAGAUGACUUAGCAGUUUCCGAUUUGGUGCCGGAGUAUUGACUGAACUAAUGUCGUAGAAACAGUGAAGUCCGUUCUCGUGUUAUUAAGGAGGAAAGCUCGGUGUGGGUGUGCCUUUUGAACUAAGAACGCGGAUUCGUUGUUCACACUUUUCGUUAGGAAAGUGAGGGUAACGAUCCGCGAUGCCCAUUGGUUAUAGCCAACGUUAAUAAAUGAAGAUAGGAGGAGGAAGUCUCCUGCCAAUGUUGCUCGUGGGUGUCAUUGUUUAUGGG